UACGGAGGAUCCGAGCGUUAUCCGGAUUUAUUGGGUUUAAAGGGUGCGCAGGCGGGAGAUUAAGUCGGCGGUGAAAUUUUGCAGCUCAACUGUAAAAGUGCCUUCGAUACUGGUUUCCUUGAGUGUGGAUGAAGUAAGCGGAAUUUGUGGUGUAGCGGUGAAAUGCAUAGAUAUCACGAGGAACUCCGAUUGCGCAGGCAGCUUACUAAACCAUAACUGACGCUCAGGCACGAAGGCGUGGGGAUCAAACAGGAUUAGAUACCCG
rnacentral:rRNA from 1 species